rnacentral:rRNA from 1 species
UACGAAGGGGGCUAGCGUUGCUCGGAAUCACUGGGCGUAAAGCGCACGUAGGCGGCUUUUUAAGUCAGAGGUGAAAUCCUGGAGCUCAACUCCAGAACUGCCUUUGAUACUGGAGAGCUUGAGUCCGGGAGAGGUGAGUGGAACUGCGAGUGUAGAGGUGAAAUUCGUAGAUAUUCGCAAGAACACCAGUGGCGAAGGCGGCUCACUGGCCCGGUGCUGACGCUGAGGUGCGAAAGCGUGGGGAGCAAACAGG